GAUGAACGCUAGCGGCAGGCUUAAUACAUGCAAGUCGAGGGGCAACAGGGGUAGCAAUACCUGCUGGCGACCGGCAAACGGGUGCGGAACACGUACAGAACCUUCCUUUAAGCGGGGGAUAGCCCAUAGAGAUGUGGAUUAAUACCCCAUAGUAAUAUUGUCUGGCAUCAGAUGAUAUUUAAAGAUUUAUCACUUAAAGAUGGCUGUGCGGCUGAUUAGGUAGNGGUCGGGGUAACGGCCCACCAAGCCAACGAUCGGUAACUGGUGUGAGAGCACGACCAGUCACACGGGCACUGAGACACGGGCCCGACUCCUACGGGAGGCAGCAGUAAGGAAUAUUGGUCAAUGGACGCAAGUCUGAACCAGCCAUGCCGCGUGAAGGAU
rnacentral:rRNA from 1 species